AGGGUGUAAACGCUGCAGACUUGGUGUUGGGAACCCUUCGGGGUGCUCAGUGCCGGAGAGAAGUUGUUAAGUCUGCUACUUGGGGAGUACGUCCGCAAGGAUGAAACUUAAAGGAAUUGGCGGGGGAGGCACCGCAACGGGAGGAGCGUGCGGUUUAAUUGGAUUCAACGCCGAAAAACUCACCAGCAGCGACUGUUACAUGAAAGUCAGGUUGAUGACCUUACUAGAUUUUCAGAGAGGAGGUGCAUGGCGUCAGUGACU
rnacentral:rRNA from 1 species